AUAAUGGGUCAGCGACUUAUAUUCUGUAGCAAGGUUAACCGAAUAGGGGAGCCGAAGGGAAACCGAGUCUUAACUGGGCGUUAAGUUGCAGGGUAUAGACCCGAAACCCGGUGAUCUAGCCAUGGGCAGGUUGAAGGUUGGGUAACACUAACUGGAGGACCGAACCGACUAAUGUUGAAAAAUUAGCGGAUGACUUGUGGCUGGGGGUGAAAGGCCAAUCAAACCGGGAGAUAGCUGGUUCUCCCCGAAAGCUAUUUAGGUAGCGCCUCGUGAAUUCAUCUCCGGGGGUAGAGCACUGUUUCGGCAAGGGGGUCAUCCCGACUUACCAACCCGAUGCAAACUGCGAAUACCGGAGAAUGUUAUCACGGGAGACACACGGCGGGUGCUAACGUCCGUCGUGAAGAGGGAAACAACCCAGACCGCCAGCUAAGGUCCCAAAGUCAUGGUUAAGUGGGAAACGAUGUGGGAAGGCCCAGACAGCCAGGAUGUUGGCUUAGAAGCAGCCAUCAUUUAAAGAAAGCGUAAUAGCUCACUGGUCGAGUCGGCCUGCGCGGAAGAUGUAACGGGGCUAAACCAUGCACCGAAGCUGCGGCAGCGACGCUGAUGCGUUGUUGGGUAGGGGAGCGUUCUGUAAGCCUGCGAAGGUGUGCUGUGAGGCAUGCUGGAGGUAUCAGAAGUGCGAAUGCUGACAUAAGUAACGAUAAAGCG
rnacentral:rRNA from 1 species